rnacentral:rRNA from 1 species
AUCUCCUUAAUCGGAGAGUUCCCUUCGGGGACAUUGGUGACAGGUGGUGCAUGGUUGUCGUCAGCUCGUGUCGUGAGAUGUGGGUUAAGUCCCGCAACGAGCGCAACCCUUGUCUUUAGUUGCCAUCAUUAAGUUGGGCACUCUAGGGAGACUGCCAGGGAUAACCUGGAGGAAGGUGGGGAUGACGUCAAAUCAUCAUGCCCCUUAUGCUUAGGGCUACACACGUGCUACAAUGGGUAGUACAGAGGGUUGCCAAGCCGUAAGGUGGAGCUAAUCCCUUAAAGCUA